GCGCCCUUAGCUCAGCUGGAUAGAGCAACGGACUUCUAAUCCGUAGGUCGUGCGUUCGAGUCGCACAGGGCGUGCCA
rnacentral:tRNA from 1 species